rnacentral:rRNA from 1 species
AGUGAACGCUGGCGGUAGGCCUAACACAUGCAAGUCGAACGGCAGCACAGGAGAGCUUGCUCUCUGGGUGGCGAGUGGCGGACGGGUGAGGAAUACAUCGGAAUCUACUCUGUCGUGGGGGAUAACGUAGGGAAACUUACGCUAAUACCGCAUACGACCUACGGGUGAAAGCAGGGGACCUUCGGGCCUUGCGCGAUUGAAUGAGCCGAUGUCGGAUUAGCUAGUUGGCGGGGUAAAGGCCCACCAAGGCGACGAUCCGUAGCUGGGCGGAGAGGACGAUCAGCCACACUGGAACUGAGACACGGUCCAGACUCCUACGGGAGGCAGCAGUGGGGAAUAUUGGACAAUGGGCGCAAGCCUGAUCCAGCCAUACCGCGUGGGUGAAGAAGGCCUUCGGGUUGUAAAGCCCUUUUGUUGGGAAAGAAAUCCAGCUGCUAAUACCCGGUUGGGAUGACGGUACCCAAAGAAUAAGCACCGGCUAACUUCGUGCCAGCCGCCGCAGUAA